UCCUGUUUCCGUGUUCAUAUCACAAGGAUGGAGCAAUAGAUAAGGUUCGGAAGCUACUGGAGAUGCUUUUAGAAAAUGGACUUAAACCUGAUAUCUUCACUUUUAGCUCAAUAAUUGAUGGACUCUGUCGAAUAAAGAGGACUGAGGAAGCUUUUGAAUGCUUUACUGAGAUGAUUGAGUGGGGCAUCAAUCCAAAUGCUGCCAUUUACAAUAUCUUGAUUCGAUCUUUAUCCACCAUCAGGGAUGUUGCAAGGUCAGUGAAACUUUUAAGAAGAAUGCAAAAGGAAGGAAUAAGCCCUGAUACCUACUCCUAUAAUGCUUUGAUUCAAAUCUUCUGUAGGAUGAAUAAAGUUGAGAAAGCCAAUAAGCUUUUUGAUUCAAUGCCAAGAUCUGGCUUGAAUCCAGACAAUUAAUUACACUUACAGUGCUUUUAUAGAGGCACUGUCUGCAUCUGGGAGAUUAGAGGAAGCCAACAAGAUGUUUUACUCGAUGGAGGCAAAUGGUUGCUCUCCCGACUCAUAUAUAUGUAACCUAAUUAUCAAAAUAUUGAUUCUACAGGACUACGUUGAAGCGGCUUAAAACAUCAUAGGAAGGUGCAGACAGAAGGGAAUAUCUUUGAAUUCUAUUCCUAAUUUGUAGACUAGUUGUCUGCUAAUUUUUAGGAUGAUGCUACAUUAUUGAGGUUUUGAAAGUGAAGAUAUCGGUUCAGGGUACAGGUAUGCUAGAUUAUAAAGUUCUGUUGAUAUUGAGAUCUUGUUAUAUGGUGGGACACGGAUUAUUUAUGCACAUGUAUGCAUGUAAUUUUCCCCAUUUCAACACAAAAAUAAAGAAUACAAUUAGAAAUUUACUUUCUCCUUAUUAGUUGAUCACUCUCCUUUCAUCAUCAUCAUCCUUAGCGGUUUGGAUGGUGGCAGCUUGGUUAACAUGUUAUACCAUGCUUCAACUGUUGCUGUGGUUAACUUACAAAUUGUGCUGUUUUUCUGGAAUCAGCAGAAAAUGCCUUUUUCCAUCAUUGUCUCCAUUAAUGGAGUAACAUCGAUCUCUUUACAAGCACUGCGGUCGGCUAAUGACAACCAGAGCUCCAUCUUGCAUAGCUACCCAUCCUGCGUGUGGAAGAACACGAAUUUGGUGGCAGUCUCAUGACAGGACAACCUGAGAUAUCUAAGUUUUGUGGCCAUGGGCCCCUGGCAGUCUCUUAUGAUGGACAUUAAUCUUCUGCAAUAAAGAAGCUUGGCAUAAAAGGACUUCUAAUUUCCCAGAGAGCGUUUCAGUGAAAUCAUGCAGCCAAGCUCUAUGUUGAAUCACGAUAUUAUUUUAAACAUGAAAUCUGCUGAACUGGAGAUUGAGUAUGGCAGGUUUCUUAAUUGGCUGAAUGAUUCAACUCCUUUCUCAAUUUUGUUGCAAAUAUAAUAGCUAUAUGGACCCUGAAAGCUUUAAUAGGCAAUAUUUGAGUUGAGGUGGUCAUGACGUGACUUGCCAUCCUAGUUCAAUAAGACAUUGAUUAACACUUUUGGAAAGGUUACGGCAGCACUAGCAAAAAAAGCAUUGUCACAUCGACUGUCGUUACAAGGGAUUUUGGAUUUCAAUCAUAAUGCAAGUUGGUUUUAAUCCUUCUAUACAGGAUGAUUGAUGAAUAAAGUUGAGAAAGCUAAAAAGCUUUUUGAUUCAAUGUCAAGAUCUGGCUUGAAUCCGGACAAUUACACUUACAAUGCUUUAUGGAGGCACUGUCUGAAUCUGGGAGAUUAGAGGAAGCCGAGAAGAUGUUUUACUCGAUGGAGGUCACUCUCCCUUCAUCUCCUUAGAAAGAGCUUGGUCUAGCGGUUUUGAUGGUGGUAGCUUUGUUAACAUGUUAUACGUACUAUGCUUCUCCUCUUGCUGUGGUUAUCUUACAAAUUGUGUUCUGGAGUCGACAGACAUCACCCUUUCCACCGUUAUGUCCAUUAAAAUUAUUUUUCAUUUAUAUCUCAAA